rnacentral:rRNA from 1 species
CACGUAGUUAGCCGUCCCUUUCUGGUAAGAUACCGUCACAGUGUGAACUUUCCACUCUCACACUCGUUCUUCUCUUACAACAGAGCUUUACGAUCCGAAAACCUUCUUCACUCACGCGGCGUUGCUCGGUCAGGGUUGCCCCCAUUGCCGAAGAUUCCCUACUGCUGCCUCCCGUAGGAGUCUGGGCCGUGUCUCAGUCCCAGUGUGGCCGAUCACCCUCUCAGGUCGGCUAUGUAUCGUUGCCUUGGUGAGCCGUUACCUCACCAACUAGCUAAUACAACGCAGGUCCAUCUGGUAGUGGAGCAAUUGCCCCUUUCAAAUCAACAUCAUGCAAUGUCGACUGUUAUGCGGUAUUAGCUAUCGUUUCCAAUAGUUAUCCCCCGCUACCAGGCAGGUUACCUACGCGUUACUCACCCGUUCGCAACUCAUCCGCUCGGUGCAAGCACCAAGCUUCAGCGUUCUACUUGCAUGUAUUAGGCACGCCGCCAGCGUUCA